AUUGAACGCUGGCGGCAGGCUUAACACAUGCAAGUCGAGCGAGUGGCGGACGGGUGAGUAAUGUCUGGGAAACUGCCUGAUGGAGGGGGAUAACUACUGGAAACGGUAGCUAAUACCGCAUACCAUCAGAUGUGCCCACAUGGGAUUAGCUAGUAGGUGGGGUAAUGGCUCACCUAGGCGACGAUCCCUAGCUGGUCUGCGAGGAUGACCAGCCACACGGGAACUGCGACACGGUCCAGACUCCUACGGGAGGCAGCAGUGGGGAAUAUUGCACAAUGGGCGCAAGCCUGAUACAGCCACGCCGCGUGUGUGAAGAAGGCCUUCGGGUUGUAAAGUACUUUCAGCGAGGAGGCGUUACUCGCAGAAGAAGCACCGGCUAACUCCGUGCCAGCAGCCGCGGUAAUAC
rnacentral:rRNA from 1 species